rnacentral:tRNA from 1 species
AAGCGUGAUGUCGCAAAGUCCUUCCCAAAAGGUAUUUACGGCAGCCAACCUGCGGUCUACGGAACCGGAGGUUGCAGGUUCGAAUCCUGCCACGC